GCUGAGUUUAAGCAUAUCAAUAAGCGGAGGAAAAGAAACUAACAAGG
rnacentral:rRNA from 2 species